CCUACGGGAGGCAGCAGUGAGGAAUAUUGGUCAAUGGCCGUAAGGCUGAACCAGCCAAGUAGCGUGAGGGAAGACUGCCCUAUGGGUUGUAAACCUCUUUUAUGCGGGGAUAAAGGUGUCCACGUGUGGCGCUUUGCGAGUACCUGAAGAAAAAGCAUCGGCUAACUCCGUGCCAGCAGCCGCGGUAAUACGGAGGAUGCGAGCGUUAUCCGGAUUUAUUGGGUUUAAAGGGUGCGCAGGCGGAAUGUCAAGUCAGCGGUAAAAUUUCGGGGCUCAACCCCGUCGUGCCGUUGAAACUGGCGUCCUUGAGUGAGCGAGAAGUAUGCGGAAUGCGUGGUGUAGCGGUGAAAGGCAUAGAUAUCACGCAGAACUCCGAUUGCGAAGGCAGCAUACCGGCGCUCAACUGACGCUCAUGCACGAAAGCGUGGGUAUCGAACAGGAUUAGAUACCCGAGUAGUC
rnacentral:rRNA from 1 species